rnacentral:ribozyme from 1 species
AAAUGCAAGUUUGAGGCCAUAGCAGAAGCGUUCACAGUGUGGCCCUGUCAGAUUCAACAAAUUUGCCAAUUCUGUU